GAUGAACGCUAGCGGCAGGCCUAAUACAUGCAAGUCGAACGAUGUAGCAAUACAUAGUGGCGCACGGGUGCGUAACGCGUAUGCAACCUACCGAUAACAGGGGGAUAACAUUCCGAAAGGAGUGCUAAUACCGCAUAAUACCAAGAUUUAGCAUUAAGUUUUGGUCAAACAUUUAUGGGUUAUCGAUGGGCAUGCGUCCAAUUAGCUAGUUGGCGAGGUAACGGCUCACCAAGGCUACGAUUGGUAGGGGAACUGAGAGGUUGGUCCCCCACACUGGUACUGAGAUACGGACCAGACUCCUACGGGAGGCAGCAGUAGGGAAUAUUGGGCAAUGGGACGGAAGUCUGACCCAGCCAUGCCGCGUGGAGGAAGAAGGCCUUCUGGGGUUGUAAACUGCUUUUGCCAGGGGGAUAAAAUUUCCAUGCGUGGAAAACUGAAGGUACCUGGUGAAUAAGCCACGGCUAACUACGUGCCAGCAGCCGCGGUAAU
rnacentral:rRNA from 1 species